UGUCAAUCGCAGCACAUAUACGAAUUUCCUCAAUGGCACGAGUGGGUACAAUGCGCUUCCUUUGGAGAUAUUCCACCCAACACCUACAUUCAUCCAAGUACGGUAUGUUUACAACUCGCAACCGAGUUCGCCUGAAGGAUGAAUGAAGAAUUCUAGUAUGCAGAAUGGAAAUUCCUCUCGGGAAAAGCCAACCAGUAUUGAAAUUACCCUCGUUUAAGCGGGCCACACAGGUGACAUGGGGUGUUUGCUUAGAAAAUAGAAAAUGCUGAAAGGAGAAAUCUACAAACAGGUGUGAAGAAGUGAAAUAUUUAUAUUGCUCCAACAACUCAUUUCCCGGAACAUCGUGAGUACUUUACCCUUCUAUGACAAAGGUCCAUAAACAUCUCUUGCUGUGAUAUGUAGGAGAGCGCUGCAUGAAUGCAUUCAAAACGGCGUAUGAAUUAUUCAUGUACAAAACGAAUGCAUGAUUUUGGCUUCAAAUUUUUUUUUUAAAUUUGAGCGAAUAGCUGUUCAGAUAUAUGUGUCGACAUAACAAUAUUCGAACAAAGUGAAAAUAAAUUGAAUUGAUAUAAAUGUCA